rnacentral:rRNA from 1 species
UGCAAGUCGAACGGCAGCACGGGAGCUUGCUCCUGGUGGCGAGUGGCGAACGGGUGAGUAAUACAUCGGAACGUACCCAGGAGUGGGGGAUAACGUAGCGAAAGUUACGCUAAUACCGCAUAUUCUGUGAGCAGGAAAGCGGGGGAUCGCAAGACCUCGCGCUCUUGGAGCGGCCGAUGUCGGAUUAGCUAGUUGGUGAGGUAAAAGCUCACCAAGGCGACGAUCCGUAGCAGGUCUGAGAGGAUGAUCUGCCACACUGGGACUGAGACACGGCCCAGACUCCUACGGGAGGCAGCAGUGGGGAAUUUUGGACAAUGGGGGCAACCCUGAUCCAGCCAUGCCGCGUGAGUGAAGAAGGCCUUCGGGUUGUAAAGCUCUUUCGGCGGGGAAGAAAUGGCAACGGCUAAUAUCCGUUGUUGAUGACGGUACCCGCAUAAGAAGCACCGGCUAACUACGUGCCAGCAGCCGCGGUAAUACGUAUGGUGCGAGCGUUAAUCGGAAUUACUGGGCGUAAAGCGUGCGCACGCGGUUUCGUAAGACAGACAUGAAAUCCCCGGGCUCAACCUGGGAACUGCGUUUGUGACUGCGAGGCUAGAGUACGGCAGAGGGGGGUAGAAUUCCACGUGUAGCAGUGAAAUGCGUACAGAUGUGGAGGAAUACCGAUGGCGAAGGCAGCCCCCUGGGUUAGUACUGACGCUCAUGCACGAAAGCAUGGGGAGCAAACAGGAUUAGAUACCUGGUAGUCCACGCCCUAAACUAAUGUCAUCUAGGUGUGGGAGGGUGA